rnacentral:tRNA from 1 species
GGCUCGGUAGCUUAGUUGGUAAAGCACUCGUCUAGCAUACAAGAAUCCUGGGUUCAAAUCCCAGCCGAGCAC